rnacentral:tRNA from 1 species
UGCCCCGCGUGAGGAUCGAACUCACGACCUUCAGAUUAUGAGAAUGACGCGCUACUUACUGCGCUAACGAGGC